rfam:Hyaloperonospora arabidopsidis Emoy2 Contig89.9, whole genome shotgun sequence.
GACAGUUUGGCCGAGUGGUUAAGGCGAUGGACUUGAAAUCCAUUGGGGCAACCCGCGUGAGUUCAAACCUCACAGCUGUCG